GCUGCAUGGCUGUCGUCAGCUCGUGUCGUGAGAUGUUCGGUUAAGUCCGCUAACGAGCGCAACCCUCGCUGUGUGUUACAAAGUGUCACACGGAACUGCCGGUCAUAAACCGGAGGAAGGUGGGGAUGACGUCAAGUCAGCAUGGCCUUUAUAUCCUGGGCUACACACACGCUACAAUGGGAAGGGACAAUAGGUUGCGAAGCCGCGAGGCGGAGCCAAUCCAGCAAAACUUCCCUCAGUUCAGAUUGCAGGCUGCAACUCGCCUGCAUGAAGUUGGAGUUGCUAGUAAACGCAGGUCAGCCAUACUGCGUUGAAUACGUUCCCGGGGCUU
rnacentral:rRNA from 1 species